rnacentral:lncRNA from 1 species
GGAGGGGCUUUACUUUUCAGAAAACUAGUUUCCCAUUCUGCAUAUUUCCCUUCUCUCUCUAGAAUAGGAACUUUGCCCUAACCAAGUUUCUUCCACCUUCUCUCUAAUAUUACAGCAAAUUGAACCGUUAAAUUUCUAAAUUGAUACUGCCAAAUCAUUCCUGGAGUCAAGAGCUGCUGAACCAUUCCACCAAGAGCUGCUGAACCAUUCCACCAAUCUUGCUGCUGAACCAUUCCACCAAUCUUGUGUUUCAGUGGGUGAGUAGUUUUACCCUUUUUCCACUGUUUCUAGACUUUAGGGUAGGUAACUUAGUUAGUUUCUUGUUCCUUAUGCUUGUUUCCUUUCAUUCUCUUUGUUCUAGCUUAAAGAGCUAGAAAAAUCCAUCACCCAUUUGGUGAUUCGAAAAUUCUGUGAGCAUCUGUGAGGGUCUUUUCUGUAAUCUGAACAAGGAAACUCAGAGGUAAGGGGAACUAACUAUAUAAGUAUUUUGUUGUUCUGAUUAAUUCCUGAAUUUAUGAGAAAAUAUGUUGAAUUGCGUUU